AUGUCGUCACGGCCAAUGUGGCGGAUGGUCCGGGCUUCCUGGAUGAGCAGGAGGCCCUGCUGCUGUCCUACGGGAGCGCCCGUGAUAUCCGCCGCGAGUGAUGGCAGAUGUGCGUCCUACAGGCGGAGAAAGACGCCCUGUUCGCGGACAUCGACGCGACGAAGGAGGAAAGGGAGGAGGACGAGACCAAGGAUGUUGACAACAUCGUGUCGGCCGCGCCGCCUCGACGAUGAGCCUGGACGUCCAUGUCCACCACCGUCGAAAGCGAGGAAAAGUAGAACAUGGGAGGCCGCCGACGCUUGGGUCCCAGAAAGGCCACCACCGACGUCUUGUCGGGCCUCACAACCGUUGAGCUAG
rnacentral:rRNA from 1 species